rnacentral:miRNA from 1 species
UUAAUAUAUUUUAUGUAUGUAUAUAUAUAUAUAUAUAUAUAUGUAUAUACAUACACACACACACACACAGUAUGCAUUUAUG